rnacentral:lncRNA from 1 species
AGAGCCAAAGACACUGAUAACUGCCGAAAGCUUUCAGCACACAUGAAGCCAAGACAUCUGAGAAUGAAAAGCCCAAGAAUGUGCCAAGCAUGAAGAGUCCACCAAGAAUGAAGGGCUCAAGAAUCAUAAGAAAGCAGAUCUCUCUCAGGGGAGUGGCAAGGACAGGGAAGGACUUGGGAGUUCUCAUCUCCAUCAUGGAGUCUGGGGAGCCAAGAGUGGCAAGAGGCUCCAGCUGUGUCUGAGAUUCAGAGAAUCCCAGGAUUUGCACCUGAGAGGUCAUCGAGGCCAAGUCUGUCAUUUCAUGAUGAGGAACUGAGGCUCCCAAAGUAGUGACUUAGCCAAGGUGACACAGUCAGUCAUCAGCAGCGCAGCGUAGUUAGGAUGGUCAGCUGCUGAAUUAGUGUGGGAGAGGAUAGUUGAGGAAUAACGGAUUUCAAGUUGGGCAGUCAUGGUGUGACUGGAAAAGCUGGGACAGAGAGGAGACACCAGAAAAGAAGAAUCAGGCAGGUUUCUUGACUUGUCUGGGGGAAGUGAGGGAACGAAAGACACAAGUCCCCAAAUGCUCCAGCUUUGUUAGAGCUGGUGUAAGGCUGAAUGGUGAUGCCAUGGAUCAAAAUCAAGAAGUCAGGAGGAAGAUUUGAUUUUUGAGACAAUGUGAUGAUGACUUUUCUAUGUUUAGUUUGAAGUGUUGGCCCCAUCCAUGGAAAGAUGUUUGCUAGGAGCUGGAAAUGUAGGGAGGGAAUCUAUGAGGAAGGGUGAGCCAUGGUCAAGAUUGAGGGGGGCAUCUGUCUAGAGAGGUGAGCAGUGAAGGGUGGGAGGGAAUAGAUGUCCUGGGAAGGGAGUAGAGAGAGAGAAGAGAGGGAAGUAACUGAGUCAUGAAUAUGUGUAGUGAUAGAGAAGAACAAGAGGAAUCAGCUUUGGAGACAGGGAGGCAGUAGUGGAAGCAAUAAGAAAAACGUGAGGACAGUGAAGUCUCAGAGAAGCCCAGGGGAGGAAGGAUUUCAGGGAUGUCGUCAUCAAAGUCAAAGGCUACAGGGAAAGAAGGAUGAGUUUAGAGGCAAAAUUGUUGGAAUUUGUGGAAAGAGGUGGUUGAAGAGAUCACUUUCUCUAAAGCUUUAGCAGUCAUUGUACUUCCUACAUCAAAAAUGAUGCCCUGGCUGACCUUGUACUUUGGGGUUCUGCUUUUUGAUUGGUGUGAACCCUCAGCACU